UGGGGAAUAUUGCACAAUGGAGGGAACUCUGAUGCAGCGACGCCGCGUGAACGAAGAAGGCUUUCGAGUCGUAAAGUUCUUUUAUAUGGGAAGAUAAUGACGGUACCAUAAGAAGAAGCCCCGGCUAACUACGUGCCAGCAGCCGCGGUAAUACGUAGGGGGCUAGCGUUGUCCGGAAUCACUGGGCGUAAAGGGUUCGCAGGCGGAAAUGCAAGUCAGGUGUAAAAGGCAGUAGCUUAACUACUGUAAGCAUUUGAAACUGCAUAUCUUGAGAAGAGUAGAGGUAAGUGGAAUUUUUAGUGUAGCGGUGAAAUGCGUAGAGAUUAAAAGGAAGACCGGUGACGAAGGCGACUUACUGGGCUCAUUCUGACGCUGAGGAACGAAAGCGUGGGUAGCAAACAGG
rnacentral:rRNA from 1 species